rnacentral:rRNA from 1 species
GACACGGCCCAGACUCCUACGGGAGGCAGCAGUAGGGAAUUUUCGGCAAUGGGCGAAAGCCUGACCGAGCAAUGCCGCGUGAAUGAAGAAAUUCUUCGGAAUGUAAAAUUCUGUGGUGAGGGAAGAAAGGUAUUAGAAGGAAAUGGCUAAUAUUUGACGGUACCUUACUAGAAAGCCCCGGCUAACUAUGUGCCAGCAGCCGCGGUAAUACAUAGGGGGCAAGCGUUAUCCGGAAUUAUUGGGCGUAAAGCGUGCGUAGGCGGCCACUUAAGUCUGUCGUGAAAGCCCACAGCUUAACUGUGGAGGGUCGAUGGAAACUGAGAGGCUUGAAUCUAGGAGAGGUAAGUGGAAUUCCAUGUGUAGCGGUAAAAUGCUUAGAUAUAUGGAGGAACACCAGUGGCGAAGGCGGCUUACUGGUCUAGAAUUGACGCUGAUGCACGAAAGCGUGGGUAGCAAACAGGAUUAGAUACCCUGGUAGUCCACGCCGUAAACGAUGAGCACUAAGUGUCGGACGUAAGUUCGGUGCUGAAGUUAACGCAUUAAGUGCUCCGCCUGGGGAGUACGGUCGCAAGACUGAAACUCAAAGGAAUUGACGGGGACUCGCACAAGCGGUGGAGCAUGUGGUUUAAUUCGACGCAACGCGAAAAACCUUACCAGGCCUUGACAUACCGAUGACGUCUUUAGAGAUAGAGAGUUACCUUCGGGUACAUCGGAUACAGGUGGUGCAUGGUUGUCGUCAGCUCGUGUCGUGAGAUGUUGGGUUAAGUCCC